AUUAAUUUAAGAUGUGACAUCCAGUGAAGGCAAUAAUAAAUAUAUUAACAACCCGCCAGCAGAGUGUGCAGUGUUUUUGUUACUGUUACUGCGUAAAACGUGUUAAGUGGAGCAUAUCGUUUGGAAAGGACGGAUGCAUUGAGGAAGGGCAAAAACAAUGGAGCUGCCGUGAAAAUUGAUUAAACAAAACAACAACAUCGGGACUGAAGAGUGAAGGGAGACCAGUGCCCAGCGAGAGCAAAGGAGAUAAAUAAUGCACAAAAUGGUUAAAUUAUUCCUCAGUUGAAAGUGAAAGUGGCGUCGCAGAGAGAUCGCACGGAACAAAAUGGACAAUUUAUGCUAAAUGCAAAUGCAAAUGCUAAAUGCGA